AUUGAACGCUGGCGGCAGGCCUAACACAUGCAAGUCGAGCGGAUGAAGGGAGCUUGCUCCUGGAUUCAGCGGCGGACGGGUGAGUAAUGCCUAGGAAUCUGCCUGGUAGUGGGGGAUAACGUCCGGAAACGGGCGCUAAUACCGCAUACGUCCUGAGGGAGAAAGUGGGGGACCUUCGGACCUCACGCUAUCAGAUGAGCCUAGGUCGGAUUAGCUAGUUGGUGGGGUAAAGGCCUACCAAGGCGACGAUCCGUAACUGGUCUGAGAGGAUGAUCAGUCACACUGGAACUGAGACACGGUCCAGACUCCUACGGGAGGCAGCAGUGGGGAAUAUUGGACAAUGGGCGAAAGCCUGAUCCAGCCAUGCCGCGUGUGUGAAGAAGGUCUUCGGAUUGUAAAGCACUUUAAGUUGGGAGGAAGGGCAGUAAGUUAAUACCUUGCUGUUUUGACGGUACCAACAGAAUAAGCACCGGCUAACUUCGUG
rnacentral:rRNA from 1 species